AUGGCCACGCGCCGCAGCAGCACGGGCGGCUCCCACGUCUCCUCCCUCCUCGUCCUUCUCUUCCUCGCCUCCGCCUCGUCCUUCCUCCUCGGCGCCCGCGCCAAAGGCCCCGUCGUGGACGUCAAGGCGUCCUGCGCCAAGACGGACGGCCCGAUCACCUGCAACUCCUUCCUCGGGCCCGAGCCGGACACCAAGACGGCGGACGCGCGCGGGCUGGCGGAGAUCGCCAUGAGGGUCACCGCCAAGCUCGGCGGCUUGGUGGGGGCCUACGCGCGCCGCGAGCUGGACCUGGUCAAGGACAACCCGACGUGGCAGUGCCUGGACGAGUGCGCCGAGGACAUCGAGGACGCGCUGUCGCACCUGGACGACGCCCUGGGCGGCGUCAACGACGCCCAGUUCGACCAGGUCCGCCAGUACAUCGACCUCUCCGAGCAGGACACAUGGUCCUGCGACGAGACCUGCCGGGAGACGCCGCCCAGCCCGGUCAAGACCGAGCUGCUCCGCAAGAACCUCGAGUUCGAGAGGAUGAUGAACGUUACCCGCCAGCUCAUCAAGCUCGCCGACGGGGGCGCCUCGCCGGUGCCGCCGAAACCCGCUAUUCUGCCAUGA
rnacentral:rRNA from 1 species